rnacentral:rRNA from 1 species
UACGUAGGCAGCAAGCGUUGUUCGGAGUUACUGGGCGUAAAGGGUGCGUAGGCGGUUGUUUAAGUUUGGUGUGAAAUCUCCCGGCUCAACUGGGAGGGUGCGCCGAAUACUGAAUGACUAGAGUCCGGAAGAGGCGAGUGGAAUUCCUGGUGUAGCGGUGGAAUGCGCAGAUAUCAGGAGGAACACCAAUAGCGAAGGCAGCUCGCUGGGACGGUACUGACGCUAAGGCGCGAAAGCGUGGGGAGCGAACAGG